GGCACCAUUGCACUCCGGUGCCAGUUGACGAGGUGGGGUUUAUCGAGAUUUCGGCGGAUGACUCCCGGUUGUUCAUCACAACCGCAAGCUUUUACUUAAAUCAUUAAGGUGACUUAGUGGACAAAGGUGAAAGUGUGAUGA
rnacentral:ribozyme from 2 species